rnacentral:sRNA from 1 species
GUCCUUGAUUACUUUUUGUAGGUUCCAUUACGAAAAAGGAGCUCGGUACCAUGAUGCGUUCAAUCGGUGAAAAACCGACAAAAGCUGAUCUUCAGGACUUGAUGAACGAAGCGGAUUUAGAUGGUGAUGGAACCAUCGAUUUCCCUGAGUUCUUGUGCGUAAUGGCUAAGAAUCAAGGUCAUGAUCAAGCGCCGCGUCACACUAAAAAAACAAUGGCGGAUAAGCUCACUGACGAUCAGAUUACAGAGUACAGGGAAUCUUUCAGGUUAUUCGACAAGAAUGGUGAUGGUAUG